rnacentral:rRNA from 1 species
GUGGGGAAUCUUGCACAAUGGGCGAAAGCCUGAUGCAGCCAUGCCGCGUGAAUGAUGAAGGCCUUAGGGUUGUAAAAUUCUUUCGUCAGGGAUGAUAAUGACCGUACCUGAAGAAGAAGCCCCGGCUAACUUCGUGCCAGCAGCCGCGGUAAUACGAAGGGGGCUAGCGUUGCUCGGAAUUACUGGGCGUAAAGGGCGCGUAGGCGGAAAGCUUAGUCAGAGGUGAAAGCCCAGGGCUCAACCUUGGAAUUGCCUUUGAUACUGGCUGUCUUGAGUUUGGGAGAGGUGAGUGGAACUCCGAGUGUAGAGGUGAAAUUCGUAGAUAUUCGGAAGAACACCAGUGGCGAAGGCGACUCACUGGCCCAAUACUGACGCUGAGGCGCGAAAGCGUGGGGAGCAAACAGGAUUAGAUACCCCAGUAGUCC